ACAAGAGAGCAAGAAGAGAGAGUGAAGGAGAGUAAUCCCACAAAGUUGUGAGGUAUUUGUGAGAUAAUAAGUGAGGUGUUUUCUCCCAGUAAUAGAGAGAUUUCAGUUGUUCUACUAUUAGUAGAGAGAGGUUGUAAUUCUCACAUUACUUAGUAAAAUCCUUCUGUACUUGCUCGUGGACGUAGCCAAAUUGAAUGAACCACGUAAAUUCUUACAAGGAGGACUUAUUCCGAUCAUGACUUUCAUUUUGCUUUGGACGUUGGAUUCCCAGCGUAGAGAAGUGAUAUCCAAUCAAGGACAUGGAGAAUUAUUAAAGCUAUAGCAUUGUGCUCGCUACCUGGUACGCUACAGAAUUAUUCCCAGCUAAACGAAUUAAUGCGUGAUUAAUCCUCUCCUCUAUUCAUUGAACAAAAGCUGAACCCUUGAUUAUAUAUUAUACCUCCUCCUUCAUACCACAUUACUUCAAGCAUAGAAUUGGAUUCCCUGGUAUUUUCGUCCCCAGCAGCAAAUAUUAUUAGAAAAAAGAAAUGUGAUUAUAGGCAGCCACAGAAGAGAACAUUUUGAAUCAAUCACUCCUCUAAAUACUAAACAUCCUCACCAUAAUUCCCAUCUCAACAAGUUUUUGAGACCUCUCUCUAUCACUCUCCUCGUUGAUGUCAUCAUCAUCCUAUUUAAAGCCUUCAAUUUUUUCACUGCCUAACUUGAAAAAAUCUGUGAACCUUCUCUGUGUUGAUAUUGAUUUUACUAUAUUUCUCACCAGCUUAUGAUUUCCUCUAGAGUUAAAAAAAAUAAAUAUUCUGAACUC